AUGCCACAGCGCUCUUCACUAUAUCUUGGAUUUAGGCAUCCAGCACUAGGGGUGCAAACAGGAAAAAAGCAGCUGGACCAGAGCACAGCAACCCUUGGAGCUGCCCACCAAACUUCGAAUCUCCUCAGCAACGCAUUUCCCAGCUCUCUAGCCAGAAGAGUUCCUCUCCCGGGACAUCAUGUUGAUGCCUGCACAAGGUCUAGUCCAGCUGGCACUCUGUCCUGUUGAUCCAGAAACACGCAAGCCUUAUUUGGCUGUGGCAGCUAUGUGUCAGUGGCCGACCUCUCAGGAAACCAUGCAGCUUGGCAAGAAGUGCUGGGAAGAGCUCAGCCUCCCUGAACACUUGAGGACACAAAAUGAAUCAACUUGACUUGUCUAGAGCCUGGUCUUCAAGCAUGUGCUGGAGAAGGAGGAGAGAGAAAAGAGGAAAGAGAGAAGCCAUGCUCCUGCAGACCUGCCCGGCAUUCAGAGCAGCGCAAGAAGGUUCAGCACAGCCAUCACCAGAUGGUGCUGCUGCGUUCAGCCUUGCAAGGUCAUCAUGCGCAGGGACGUUUUGACUCUCGGAAGAAAAUACUGUACUGGGGAUGUUUUUCCACCGCUCGGGCGUCUGGAGAGUAGGCAGAGGAUGUUCUGACUUCAUGUCACUACUGAGUUCUGUUUAAGAACAGAACAUUUGAGCUUUGGCUGGGAGUUCUGAAUAGGGGUGUGUUGAGAUGCUGUUUGAGAUGAUCUGUUCCAGACUGGUUUGAGUGGGUAAACAAAAUUAAUUAGAUUCACAUCAUGUGAACCCACAGGAUGGAAUUUUUCCUCCAAUGGAAAACAAGCUAGCAGUGGGUACUGUUGCUUGUCAGAAAUAUUUAUAACUAUAGCUCACCUGCUUUCCAUAUGUUUGAAAAUGUUUGCUGUUUUUUUAAAGGCCCAGGUACCGGAAUCAUGUUAUCAAUGAGACUCCAAUGAACCAUUGCACAGAAAAAGUUCUCUGAGUCCCCUUUGGUAUUGCUAUUACAUAUGAAAAUCCAGUAUAGCAAAGUACUUCACCUUGCAUGAUUAAGCAGAGGAAAUGGCCCACCUGAACCUUUAACUAGCAGAUUUUGGUCUAUUUCUUGUUUGUGCCAGUAAAUAUGUGAGCCAAUCAUUACUUCUAACAAGUUGAUUGGGAAAGUUAUCCUCUCUGAUUCCUCAGAAAACUGAGGUAAAGGUAAAAGAAAAAUUUUGACACUAUGAUAGCAGUUUGGGAAUGUAACUCAUGCUUAUCUAUUAACU
rnacentral:lncRNA from 14 species